rnacentral:lncRNA from 1 species
GUACGAAUGACCUGCAUGCCCACAGCUGAGAACGAACACCAAAAUGAGACAGAAUUGCGGAGAGGUGGUGGUGAUGGAGGAAGAACACAGAAGCCAAGGACAAAUACGAAACAGCAGCACUAAAAAUGCAAAAUAAAAGCAAACAAAUAAAACCAGAUUAAUAUAAAUUAAAGCCAAGAUUCCAAGCUUUGUGAGCAAAAGAAUUCUAGUCUUUGUUCCAUGUUCCAGGAUCCUAACAACUGUGUUUAGGGCUGGGGGUGGNNNNNNNNNNNNNNNNNNNNNNNNNNNNNNNNNNNNNNNNNNNNNNNNNNCGGUGGGGAGGUGGGGUUAUUUAUUCAACAAGCAGUUGGCUCGCUUAUAAGAAAUUAAGCAUCUGUCUUGGGAAGCUUCCUCUCCAACAGAGCCAUACUGAGUGCAUACCAUAUGAAAAGGAAGAGGCUCACGGAACUGGAGGUUAUUACUGGAAACUUGUUGGAGAAGGAAGACGCAAGCGAAAGGAGAGGACAUGACGUAUGGUGGUUGCUAAGAAACAUGCAACUGAACAUAGGCUGCCACUUAAUAAUGGCCAGAGGGGGUGUGAGCUGUGAUAACAUCAGCCACCAUAGCUCUGCCUCUCAGCCCAGCAGGGGCCAUUGCUGUGGGGAAAAUGAAAAGGAAGGCAGCCUUGUUAGGGAAAAUGUAAGAAGAUCUGGAAAGGGAAAUGAAAGCCUGAGGCCCUUCUCCUACUGAGAUGGUACUGCAGGCGCCCUAUGGGAAAAGUGGUGAAGCUGGCGGGGCUACUGGAAAUCACAUUUCCAUCAUGUGCAUAAAGCUGGUCUACUGUGGAAGAGAAUGACAUUGACCAGCAAAAUCAUGCAGAGAGGAGACAAAGAAAUUCCCCAGAUCGCCUGAAUGUCUGGCUCUGGUUCCUGAGUUCCCUGAGACCACCCUGGUUCUCACCUUCCAGAAAUCCAGGUGACAAUUAGAUGAGAAAAUGCAUGCAAAGCCUUUAGCACAGUGCCUGACACAGAGGAUUUAAUAAAUAUUUAUAUUAUUCUCUUGAGCA